rnacentral:rRNA from 1 species
UACGUAGGGUGCGAGCGUUGCCCGGAUUUAUUGGGCGUAAAGGGCGCGUAGGCGGCUCGGCACGUCCAUUGUGAAAUCGCCCGGCUCAACUGGGCGGGGUCAGCGGAUACGGUCGAGCUUGAGCAAGCUAGGGGGUAAUGGAAUUCCCGGUGUAGUGGUGGAAUGCGUAGAUAUCGGGAGGAACACCAGUGGCGAAGGCGGUUACCUGGGGCUUUGCUGACGCUGAUGCGCGAAAGCGUGGGGAGCGAUCCGG